AAAUGCAGACACGCCUCUUUCAAUGCAGUAAAACAUUACUCUCCCCGAUGUGUUCUACAAAUAAGUUUGUUACAACAUAGAGGAUGGAGAAAUGCACGAUAUUAUAGUAAAUGACACACUUUGCUGGCAAGUUAAACACAUUAUCUGAUCAGUAUCACAAUGGCUGCUUUUCUUAAAUUGCAACAGUGAAUGCAAUUCAGUGGGGACCCCCUGUCGUCAUGAAAGGUGCUAAGAAAUGCAAAAGCAGAAACAUGUUUCCGGAUAGUAUAAUCGGUGUCCUGCUGAUUUCCGCUGUUGUUACUGCCAAUAUCAAAGUAACUCAAAGCCCACGGGUUAUCGAAAUAACAGAAGGAGAGGAGUUUCAACUCACCUGCACAUUUACUACACCUGAAACGACAACACUGUUUGCCGUCACGUGGUACAAGCAAAUAUUGGGUUGUGAAAGUUGUAAAGUUAUGAACAAAUCUGGAGAAUUUAUUGGUAGAGUCUUGGAAAAUCAAAUAUCUUUAAGACGGAAUCAAAUUACAGUCAUGGACGCAAGACAGAAUGAUUCUGGGAUAUAUUAUUGUGAAAUAGAAUCAAUUCAGUUUGGCAAAGGAACCGGGACGGGCACACGGGUAACAGUAGAAGAAGCAAACAUUGCUCAAUGCUUUGGAUUAUCACAUACUAAAGGAGUGGGUAAGCGAUUGAGAAAUAAGAUAGAAAAUCAACGCCAGAUUCCAAGACGAACAAGAAGGACUCGAGACGAAUCAUUAGUACAAAGUUAGAUGUCUAGAAUACCACUCUGAAUGCGCAGGUGUGAUGCAAUUCGGUGGUGUCAGCGGACAUUCGCUGCUUUGGCAGCUGAUGGUGAUGGGAGUGAAAGUUGCAGUGUUUGCCGUUAUUAUCAUGAUAACAAUUUUUCUCGUAUAUUUCUGCGAAUCUCGAGGUUCUCCUAUGGCAUUCACCUCAGGGCGAGAGGAAGCAGACCCAGCCGGCUCGUGUUCCAUGGUAAAACGUUAAACUAAGCCGACUGGCAUUUUGGACAGCUUGUAUUGGCCGCUGAUAAUUCAGUGAAAUUUUCUGUGGAAUGAUUCCAGUUGUUAAAUGCAAACUCAAAAAUAGUGCAUAGUAUGUCGUAAAGUCACUUGUGUUCCGGUAAGUUUAUAUGUCCCCCGUUAUCUUCUUGCGCUUUUAUAUUGGAGCGUUUUACUAUCAAAACAUUACAUUCGGUGAUAUUGUAGUAAUUAAACUCGUUCAUUGAAAGCUGCAGUUAUGGUAAAUUUGUUAUAUCCCAGGUUCCCACUUUGAAUAGUUUUAACUAUUAAGUACUAAAACAGCAAAACUGACGUCAACACGUGCUAAGAUAUUUAUACCAUAUCGUCUUUUUUUCUAACGGAGACAGGGACUGGUGACAAGAGGCGUGUAACAUCAAUGGCCUAAGAACAGAAAACCACUGUGAACGCACAAGUAGAGCAGUUAUCACUAUAAGCGGUCAUUUACUGAGUUGCAUCUUUCAUAACCCUUAAAAAUAAAUAUGUGCUACAUAAUUUACAUGCAUGCACCUCUGCAGUUCAAACUGCUAUUCUAUUGCGCAGCAUGGUGAAGGUGUCUGCUUCGUGGGGAAACAAUUUAAUGGCAAAUGCUUCCCUGAAACUCGAAUCACGGUAACACGUCUGAAACGGAGAAUUUUAAUUUGACGCCUAGUAACUGUUUUUGGCCGUUACUCUCUCCCUCUGUUGAUUUUGACUUUUAAAGAGGACGCUGCUGACAAACCCAUUCAAAGUAAGGUAAAUGCUGUGUCGACAACACAAAGGCGCGCAUGCGCACAACAAUCAGCACCAUCAAUCCAAGCUAAGCAAGACAUAAGUAACCGAUAUUGACUUGAGCAAUAUUGUAAAAGCCUGAUUCUGACGAAUAUUAUGAGUUACAAGCAUUUCUGAGCAAAUCUAUGUAAAAGUCAAAGAUUUGUAGUCUCAGGCAAAGGCUGAAAACUCAAGUCAAUUCAUUCUGGCAAUGUAUCAACUAUGAACAUUAAAUAAAAUGCCGUUUUAUGUAGAACGUUCAUUUAUAUUCUGUAAAUUAAGGAGAUCUGUAUUUCGCAACGUAUUGUAGUUUAUUUGCCUGCUGAAAUUAUUAUAAUAGUGAAAUUAUUUUAUUGCUUUAUGCUGACUAUUAUUCUUUUUAAAUAUUUCUUUGCCACCAUGUUACGAAUUAUUCUUAUCUAGUUCAUGUUCUUGUCAUCACAAAUUGGAAUCUGCUGCCACUUAUCCAUCCAUCCAUCUGUCAAUCUAUCGACAUUUUCAAAAUCAAUUAAAUAAACAAUGUGGUUGCGAA